rnacentral:rRNA from 1 species
UACGUAGGGGGCUAGCGUUGUCCGGAAUCACUGGGCGUAAAGGGUGCGUAGGCGGGUCUUAAGUCAGGGGUGAAAUCCUGGAGCUCAACUCCAGAACUGCCUUUGAUACUGAAGAUCUUGAGUUCGGGAGAGGUGAGUGGAACUGCGAGUGUAGAGGUGAAAUUCGUAGAUAUUCGCAAGAACACCAGUGGCGAAGGCGGCUCACUGGCCCGAUACUGACGCUGAGGCACGAAAGCGUGGGGAGCAAACAGG